rnacentral:rRNA from 1 species
UGGGGAAUUUUGGACAAUGGGCGAAAGCCUGAUCCAGCAAUGCCGCGUGUGUGAAGAAGGCCUUCGGGUUGUAAAGCACUUUUGUCCGGAAAGAAAUCCUUGGCUCUAAUACAGUCGGGGGAUGACGGUACCGGAAGAAUAAGCACCGGCUAACUACGUGCCAGCAGCCGCGGUAAUACGUAGGGUGCAAGCGUUAAUCGGAAUCACUGGGCGUAAAGCGUGCGCAGGCGGUUUGCUAAGACCGAUGUGAAAUCCCCGGGCUCAACCUGGGAACUGCAUUGGUGACUGGCAGGCUAGAGUAUGGCAGAGGGGGGUAGAAUUCCACGUGUAGCAGUGAAAUGCGUAGAGAUGUGGAGGAAUACCGAUGGCGAAGGCAGCCCCCUGGGCCAAUACUGACGCUCAUGCACGAAAGCGUGGGGAGCAAACAGGAUUAGAUACCCUGGUAGUCCACGCCCUAAACGAUGUCAACUAGUUGUUGGGGAUUCAUUUCCUUAGUAACGUAGCUAACGCGUGAAGUUGACCGCCUGGGGAGUACGGUCGCAAGAUUAAAACUUAAAUGAAUUGAC